UGGCUGAGCUCCAGAUGGGGUCAGGGUUAGGGUUUGGACACGAUUCCAAUAAUGGGUUGGCAUGAACAGAGAUUUUGCAAUCUCUCCGAUUUUCGGGAAUCAGAACUGAAGCUGUGUCCAGCAAAAUUCCCAGCGGUGGGCAGACAGGGGGUGAGUUCUCUCCUCAGCAGAUAUAAGGCCUUGGUCCUAUAACUUCUCACGGAGUACAUCGUCUUUACAGAGGAGACACAGCUCAACAUACAAACUGAUAAACAGAUAUUUCCAUCAAAAUGUGGUCAUCCCUGGUAGUGCUCCUCGCGGCCUCCUGUGUCUGUCUGGAACAGGACAAAAUCAAAAUCAAAAUCAAAAUCAAAACCAAAUCAAUUGAUGAGAUGUCAGACAAUUCAGACCUGCGCUUCAGGCGUAUGGUUGGGGGCACCCUGGCCCCUCAUGUCCCCUGGCAGGCCAUGGUCUAUCUGAGUAAAAACGUCAUGAACGGGGGGCUUCGCUGGGGGAGCUCUAAUCUCUGACCGCUGGGUCCUGACCGCUGGCAGGAACUUGUUUGUCAGGAAGAGUAGGCAGGACACCCAGGGGAAAGAACCAAUCAUCCCCAAGGUGUACCUAGGCAUCACGCGAUACUCCCAAGCCAAUGACUCCAAAGAAGUUGCUGUAGAAAAGGUGGUUCUGCACCCAGGCUUCCAGAGCGUGUCAGACUGGGACAACAACCUGGCUCUGAUUCAGCUGAAGGAGCCAUUCACCUUGAGCGAGGCUGUGAUGCCCAUCCCUCUGCCUGAGAGGGGUGAGGACCUGGCUGAGGCAGCCCAGGAGAAAGGCAUCAUCACAGGCUGGGGUUGGGGGUCCACUUCACCCCCGCUGAGUCACUGAAACACCUGGUAUUGCCUGUGGCAUCGCAUAGCUUCUGUAAGGCAGAGUACAACCGUGGUGGCAGCACUCCAACCAUAGACGACAACAUGUUCUGUACUGGAGCCAGCAAGUACCAGGAGAAUGUGUGCUUUGGGGAUGCAGGCGGUGCCCUGGCAGUCCAGGACCCCAAAGACGGCAGAGUGUAUGCUGCAGGGAUCCUGUCCUUCGAUAAGGCCUGUGCCGUGAGGAAAUACGCUGUCUACAUGAAGCUCUCUGCCUACAUGCCUUGGAUCAACAGUGUCCUCAGGGGUGACAGUGAGAAAUCAGCCAGUCUCCGCUCCAGUGUAAUGUCUGAGAUGUUUUCGAGGCAGUUGUAGCCUCCACUCAGCACAGUUUCAGAUAUGAGAGCCGGGGCUCAUAAUCUCCAUUAUGCCUUUGCUAACAAAGUAAUUUUCUGACUUGAUCUUGUAAAACUCUCUCAAGUUUCGACUUUCAUUGAGUGUGUGCCCCCGCCUGAUUGAGUGUGUCUUCCGAUGUUGAUUUCAAAGGAUUUUCAAUAAAUUAAUCUCUCCUAAGAA